rnacentral:misc_RNA from 1 species
ACGUGAAGUAGGAAUCGCUAGUAAUCGCAGGUCAGCAUACUGCGGUGAAUACGUUCCCGGGCCUUGUACACACCGCCCGUCACACCAUGGAAGUUGGCCAUGCCCGAAGUCGUUACUCCAACCCUUGUGGAGGAGGACGCCGAAGGUGGGGCUAAUGACUGGGGUGAAGUCGUAACAAGGUAGCCGUACCGGAAGGUGCGGCUGGAUCACCUCCUAACAGGGAGACAACAAAAUGUUUAAUAUUAUUAUUUUGUCACCUUAGGUCGAUCGGUACCUCACAUUCUUAAUUCAUUAAGGAUUUCAUAUCCUAAGUUUUUCUAGGUCACACCCAUUAUUUUCCCUGGGCCAUUAGCUCAGGUGGUUAGAGCGCACCCCUGAUAAGGGUGAGGUCCCUGGUUCAAGUCCAGGAUGGCCCAUAUCUCUAUGUUGGGGGUAUAGCUCAGUUGGUAGAGCGCCUGCUUUGCAAGCAGGAUGUCAGCGGUUCGAGUCCGCUUACCUCCACUGAUUACCACCUCUUCCAUAAUUCGGAGUAAGGGAAUUUUUGAGUUGUGAUUAAAUUCUGAACGAAUCUAGCUUCCUAAUAAAAUUAUUAAGAUGCUGGACUCAUUGAAUUAUUUUCAUUGUUUUCAGAGAACCUUGACAACUGCAUAGAUUAUUUUUAAAGACAAUAAGCAUCUUUAAUGAUGCAGAUUUAUUAUUUGUGCAAAUGCAUUAAUAACAAUUCUAUUAAGCUGAUGCUUCUAAAUUUUAGAAGUUAUUGGUCAAGCUACAAAGGGCUCACGGAGGAUACCUAGGCACACAGAGGCGAUGAAGGACGUGGUUACCUGCGAUAAGUCUCGGGGAG